UACGUAGGGGGCGAGCGUUGUCCGGAUUUACUGGGCGUAAAGGGCGCGUAGGCGGCGCAACAAGUCACUUGUGAAAUCUCCGGGCUUAACCCGGAGCGGCCAAGUGAUACUGUCGUGCUAGAGUGCGGAAGGGGCUACUGGAAUUCUCGGUGUAGCGGUGAAAUGCGUAGAUAUCGAGAGGAACACCUGCGGCGAAGGCGGGUAGCUGGGCCGACACUGACGCUGAGGCGCGAAAGCCAGGGGAGCGAACGGG
rnacentral:rRNA from 1 species